rnacentral:rRNA from 1 species
AUUGAACGCUGGCGGCAUGCUUUACACAUGCAAGUCGAACGGUAACAGGCCGCAAGGUGCUGACGAGUGGCGAACGGUUGCGUAAUGCAUCGGAACGUGCCCAGACGUGGGGGAUAACUGCUCGAAAGAGUAGCUAAUACCGCAUACGAUCUAUUGAUGAAAGCGGGGGACCGUAAGGCCUCGCGCGAUUGGAGCGGCCGAUGUCAGAUUAGGUAGUUGGUGGGGUAAAGGGUCACCAAGCCCACGAUCUGUAGCUGGUCUGAGAGGACGACCAGCCACACUGGGACUGAGACACGGCCCAGACUCCUACGGGAGGCAGCAGUGGGGAAUUUUGGACAAUGGGCGCAAGCCUGAUCCAGCAAUGCCGCGUGCAGGAAGAAGGCCUUCGGGUUGUAAACUGCUUUUGUACGGAAAGAAAAGGCUCUGGUUAAUACCCGGGGCUAAUGACGGUACCGUAAGAAUAAGCACCGGCUAACUACGUG